GACGAACGCUGGCGGCGUGCCUAAUACAUGCAAGUAGAACGCUGAAGGAGGAGCUUGCUUCUCUGGAUGAGUUGCGAACGGGUGAGUAACGCGUAGGUAACCUGCCUGGUAGCGGGGGAUAACUAUUGGAAACGAUAGCUAAUACCGCAUAAUAGCAGUUGUUGCAUGACAACUGUUUGAAAGGUGCAAUUGCACCACUACCAGAUGGACCUGCGUUGUAUUAGCUAGUUGGUGGGGUAACGGCUCACCAAGGCGACGAUACAUAGCCGACCUGAGAGGGGGAUCGCCCAACCGGGGACUGAGCCCCGGCCCAGCCUCCUACGGGAGGCAGCAGUAGGGAAUCUUCGGCAAGGGACGGAAGUCUACCCGAGAAACGCCGCGGGAGGGAAAAAGUUUUUCGGAUCUUAAAGCUUUUUUUUAAGGGAAGAACGGUUGGGGGGGGGGAAAGUCCCCCCUGUGACGGUAUUUUCCCAGAAAGGGACGGCUAACUCCGU
rnacentral:rRNA from 1 species